CAUCGGCAACACGGACACCGCACUACGCCAGGGUACGCUACGCACAGCUUCUCGGCGGGCAACCGGGCGCAACCGAUUCGAGUGAAAACCGAACGUUUUUUAUACACAGUAAAACUACGGAGGAGUAUACGAUUAUGAUAAUAUUAUGUACUUUUUUUACCUAUACAUACCGUACACGACGGAGGAAUUACAACGGGCAUACGAAUGGCCACCGAUGGCAAUUCAACCGAACAUCCUAUACAUAGCUGUCUGUAUGCGUGUACAGCUAGCGAUAUACUAUUGUACUUAGAUCGCGUGUUGUUUAAUCAAAAAAAAAAUAAUAAUAAUAAUAAUAAUAAUAAAAACAGCGAAGAUCUUAUGUGUGCGUAAUGAAAUAUAGAGCGAUCGAUACGUACUGUAAUACACUACAAUAUAUAAUAUGGGACACCAAACAGUUCUAAAGUAUCGUUUCAAGCACUAAACCAAACAUUCAGAAUUCUACUUUACCCGACACCUUAUUGUUUGAUAACAAAAACGAAAUUCAAACAUCGACAGAUGAUUAUUCGCAAUUAUUGGGUAUGAAAUUAUAAACACUGCGCCGACAAAAUAAAAAAAAACAAACCGAUCUAUUUAACCACGACGACGUGUUUAUCGAGGUUUAUCGUUUUAACCGAACAAAACCAAAAUCGAAAACAAUAAGGCGGCUAAAUGUUUCUGACGUUUUACAAAAAAAAAAAAAAAAGUCACAUUAAUUUCCGAGAUAACGAGCGUAUACCGGCUACUCGUUUAUAUCGUUAUAUACGUCGAUCACACCACGCCCCGUACAACGGAACGAAACCGAUAGACGAACCGGCGAUGAUGUAUUAUGCGAACACAUAUUUUAUAUAGAUAUAUAUACAGGGUGAGCACGUUACUCUAUCGGCUGUUUCGCGAUUUCGUAGCGUGAAAACCGCACACCACGACUGUAGGCGCGUUUAUAAUAUUACGCCGUCGUCGCGCCAGUGUCACGCGGUAUGCUCACGGUGUCGGCGUCGUCU